rnacentral:ribozyme from 1 species
CCAGCAGUUUCAAGGCCAUAGCAGAAGUGCCCACAGUGCGGCCAUGGCAGAUUCUAAUGAAUCUGCAAAUUCUGCU